rnacentral:rRNA from 1 species
GGACAACCUACCCUACAGAAGGGGAUAACCCCGGGAAACUGGGGAUAAUACCCUAUAGACUAUGGAUGCUGGAAUGCUCUGUAGCCGAAAGGUCCGCCGCUGUAGGAUGGGUCUGCGGCCGAUUAGGUUGUUGUUGGGGUAACGGCCCAACAAGCCUGUAAUCGGUACGGGUUGUGGGAGCAAGAGCCCGGAGAUGGAUUCUGAGACACGAAUCCAGGCCCUACGGGGCGCAGCAGGCGCGAAAACUUUGCAAUGCGGGAAACCGUGACAAGGGAACCCUGAGUGCCCGUAAAAUCGGGCUGUCCAUCAGUUUAAAUAACUGGUGAAGAAAGGGCCGGGCAAGACCGGUGCCAGCCGCCGCGGUAAUACCGGCGGCUCGAGUGGUGGCCACUAUUACUGGGCUUAAAGCGUUCGUAGCUGGUUUGUUAAGUCCCUGGGGAAAUCUUCCGGCUUAACCGGAAGGCGUCUCAGAGAUACUGGCAGACUAGGGACCGGAAGAGGUGAGAGGUACUCCAGGGGUAGGAGUGAAAUCCUGUAAUCCUUGGGGGACCACCUGUGGCGAAGGCGUCUCACCAGAACGGCUCCGACAGUGAGGGGCGAAAGCUGGGGGAGCAAACCGGAUUAGAUACCCGGGUAGUCCCAGCUGUAAACGAUGCGCGUUAGGUGUAUCGGUGACCACGAGUCACCGAGGUGCCGAAGAGAAAUCGUGAAACGCGCCGCCUGGGAAGUACGGUCGCAAGGCUGAAACU